rnacentral:rRNA from 1 species
UGGGGAAUAUUGGACAAUGGGCGCAAGCCUGAUCCAGCAAUGCCGCGUGUGUGAAGAAGGCCUUCGGGUUGUAAAGCACUUUUAUCAGGAGCGAAACGCUGUCGGCUAAUACCCGGCGGAACUGACGGUACCUGAGGAAUAAGCACCGGCUAACUUCGUGCCAGCAGCCGCGGUAAUACGAAGGGUGCAAGCGUUAAUCGGAAUUACUGGGCGUAAAGCGUGCGUAGGCGGUUUCUUAAGUCUGCUGUGAAAUCCCCGGGCUCAACCUGGGAAUGGCAGUGGAUACUGGGAGGCUAGAGUGUGUCAGAGGGUGGUGGAAUUCCCGGUGUAGCGGUGAAAUGCGUAGAAAUCGGGAGGAACAUCAGUGGCGAAGGCGGCCACCUGGGACAACACUGACGCUGAGGCACGAAAGCGUGGGGAGCAAACAGGAUUAGAUACCCUGGUAGUCCACGCCCUAAACGAUGCGAACUGGAUGUUGGUCUCAACUCGGAGAUCAGUGUCGAAGCUAACGCGUUAAGUUCGCCGCCUGGGGAGUACGGUCGCAAGACUGAAACUCAAAUGAAUUGAC